GUGAAAUUGUUGAAAGGGAAACGCUUGAUGUCAGUCGCGUUUGUUGGAACUCAGCCGGGCUUUUGUUCGGUGCACUUUCUAGCAAACGGGUCAACAUCAGUUUUGACCGGUGGAUAAAUUCAAUUGGAACGUGGCUUGUUUCGGCAAGUGUUAUAGCCUUUUGUUGGAUACACUGGUUGGGACUGAGGACUGCAGCACGCCCUUUACGGGGCAGGGGUUUCGACCUACUAUUUACGUGCUUAGGAUGUUGGCAUAAUGGCAUUAAGCGACCCGUCUUGAAACACGGACCAAGGAGUCUAACAUAUCUGCGAGUAUUUGGGUGACAAACCCGAGUGCGCAAUGAAAGUGAAUGCAGGUGGGAAGCGCAAGCUGCACCAUCGACCGGUCUGGAUUUUUUAAUGAUGGAUCUGAGUAAGAGCAUAUAUGUUGGGACCCGAAAGAUGGUGAACUAUGCCUGAAUAAGGCGAAGCCAGAGGAGACUCUGGUGGAGGCUCGUAGCGAUUCUGACGUGCAAAUCGAUCGUCAAAUUU
rnacentral:rRNA from 1 species